rnacentral:rRNA from 1 species
UACGUAGGGUGCAAGCGUUGUCCGGAAUUAUUGGGCGUAAAGAGCUCGUAGGCGGUCUGUCGCGUCGGUCGUGAAAACUUGGGGCUAACCCUGAGCUUGCGGUCGAUACGGGCAUGACUGGAGUUCGGCAGGGGAGACUGGAAUUCCUGGUGUAGCGGUGAAAUGCGCAGAUAUCAGGAGGAACACCGGUGGCGAAGGCGGGUCUCUGGGCCGAUACUGACGCUGAGGAGCGAAAGCGUGGGGAGCGAACAGG